UACGGAGGGUGCAAGCGUUAUCCGGAUUCACUGGGUUUAAAGGGUGCGUAGGCGGAUAAGUAAGUCAGUGGUGAAGUCUCCGAGCUUAACUCGGAAACUGCCGUUGAUACUAUUUGUCUUGAAUAUUGUGGAGGUAAGCGGAAUAUGUCAUGUAGCGGUGAAAUGCUUAGAUAUGACAUAGAACACCAAUUGCGAAGGCAGCUUACUACACAAUGAUUGACGCUGAGGCACGAAAGCGUGGGGAUCAAACAGG
rnacentral:rRNA from 1 species